UACGAAGGGGGCUAGCGUUGCUCGGAAUUACUGGGCGUAAAGGGCGCGUAGGCGGAUACUUAAGUCAGGGGUGAAAUCCUGGAGCUCAACUCCAGAACUGCCUUUGAUACUGAGGAUCUUGAGUUCGGGAGAGGUGAGUGGAACUGCGAGUGUAGAGGUGAAAUUCGUAGAUAUUCGCAAGAACACCAGUGGCGAAGGCGGCUCACUGGCCCGAUACUGACGCUGAGGCACGAAAGCGUGGGGAGCAACAGG
rnacentral:rRNA from 1 species